rnacentral:lncRNA from 1 species
GGAGAAGAAUGAAAGAGAAGAGAGUACUAACCUUUGCUUUUUCCACUAGUGCAUUGACAUUGGCAUCAUUGUAGGAGGGAGCAUGGCCCUCUCUCUUCGAUUCUAAUUUUUCGAGAGUAGAGUAUGCUAUGAGGGAGGAUAGCUCACGAAGAAGAAGGAAAGAGAGAGAAGGGAGGCCAUCGGCUUUUCCAACGGGGAGCCAAGCCAAUCAAAAGAA